UCUCAGCAGGAAAGCAAAUAAGCGCAUUUCCCAAAAUGUCGUACUAUUCUUUUAAAAGUGGAGUUCAAUAUGUCCCUAGUUGUACCUCUGUGCAGGACAAUGUGGUCAAUCAUAUUGCUCUUGUGUUUGGUGUGGUAGAGGCAGAGAGGGCAGCGCAGGUCUUUAGGGAAGUCGUCAGGUGCAUUGUUGUUGUGACCAGCCUCCACAUGCAUGGUGAAGCAGGUGAAAAAGGAACAGUCUUUGCACUUGAAGAGCUUCUUGCCACCAUGGCGGUCCCUGUAGUGCCGACGCAAGCUCUGCAUGUAUCCAGAGCUGAACUCACAGAACUCACAAGUGAGGAUGCCGUCUGGUCGAUUGUCAGCCACUGUUGAGCCACCAGGUGUUGAGCUGGAAGACAUGUGACUGCGGGAGGCCAGCUGGUAAUGACUAAGCUGCUGACGAACAUCCGCUGGCUCCAGCAUGUCAACGUCAGAUGGAAAAAAAAAAGAAAAAAACCUUGAAAUACAAGACUAACACAACAAUGAAGUUUACACAUGGAAAGUUGUGCAAACACUAGGCUUGACAACGUGGAGUAACUGGAAACUUGAAAAGAGAGAGAAAAGAAUUGGAUAACAAAAGGUCCCCGGCUCAACUCAAACUGAGGACAUCACGGUUAUGCUGGACACAUUAUGGUCCAUUCUGACACCCCAGAAACACAACUUUCAUUUUCAAACAGAGGAUGAGGAUGUUUCAUCAAUGGCUGUAAUACCCAAAGAAACAAAAAUAAA